rnacentral:rRNA from 1 species
CCUACGGGGGGCAGCAGUGGGGAAUAUUGGACAAUGGGGGCAACCCUGAUCCAGCCAUGCCGCGUGUGUGAAGAAGGCCCUCGGGUUGUAAAGCACUUUCAGUGAGGAAGAACGCCUGGUGGUUAAUACCCAUCAGGAAAGACAUCACUCACAGAAGAAGCACCGGCUAACUCCGUGCCAGCAGCCGCGGUAAUACGGAGGGUGCGAGCGUUAAUCGGAAUUACUGGGCGUAAAGCGCGCGUAGGUGGCUUGAUAAGCCGGUUAUGAAAGCCCCGGGCUCAACCUGGGAACGGCAUCCGGAACUGUCAAGCUAGAGUGCAGGAGAGGAAGGUAGAAUUCCCGGUGUAGCGGUGAAAUGCGUAGAGAUCGGGAGGAAUACCAGUGGCGAAGGCGGCCUUCUGGACUGACACUGACACUGAGGUGCGAAAGCGUGGGUAGCAAACAGGAUUAGAUACCCGUGUAGUC